CUCUGGGAUACUCUUCGCCUUGGAGUAGGAUCCUGAGAAGAGAGAACCGGAUGAGUUCGUGGGUGUGACCCGGGGCAUGACUGUAAGGAGGAACUAUGGAAUGCUAACUACAUGCCCGGCUCUAUGCUAGGCACAUUACAUCUGUGAUUUCACUGAUAUCUUUUAAGACACCUAAUGAGGGCAAUCCAGCCAAUCAUCUCUUUACGCUUCAUAGUACGCCUGUUAUAAACGGAAAUCAUCAACGUGACAUCAGACAGCUGAAAGAGGGCCACCUGGAAAACAAAGG